rnacentral:sRNA from 1 species
UGAGGAGGAAACGUUUAUAGAAAAUGAAGAAGUUCAUUUUUAGGAAUGUUUCCGACGAAUUGCCAACCACCGAAGGUAGGAGGCGUUACAUAU